rnacentral:rRNA from 1 species
CGGACGGUCUAUAAAUACGUACGGGCUUUCCUCAACCAGCAAGCAUCACAGCAGGACGUACAUAGCUAGCUGCCCAGCUCUCAAAGCCUCGCUCGAAUCAUUAGCUAGCAGCAUCGAAUCAUCAGCAUGGCUUCUGCCGGCCGUCGUCCCACGGUGCUCCAGCAGAUCGCUCUCUUCCUCGUCGUCGCCGCGGUGAUCAUGAACAGCUCCGUCUGCCUUGGAGCCGCUGGCCACGACGCCACUGUAGUAGGCACUGGUAGCAACGACCCUAACCACCCUGCUUUUCCGUCGCCGCCUGGUAAACCCUACACCGGUCGUCCGUGCAGCAAAAUUUACGGCUGUAAUGUACCACCGGCAGGUGGCCAGCCCUAAUUACACCCGUGCGCAGGCCUCAUCUUCCAAAACAAUGCAAGGAUCGAUCGGUUUAUGUAACGGAACGGCGGCCUAGACGCAUAUACUAUAUGCGGCAUCAAUGCAUGCCUCCUAUGUAAUGUAUGUAACGUAUCAUCACAAGUUACUCUACCGCCAUGCACGACCUUAUACAGUGAUACCAUCUCGUGUAUAUACUAGCUACUUGCACUCGAAUAAAACUGGACUGUUGCAUGUCUGGAAAUUGAUGUGAAUGCGUGAUUAAUUUAUGUGAAGGUGAAAUUAAAUUUGGUUCGG